rnacentral:misc_RNA from 1 species
GGCAGGAGGAUGGGGAGAGUUCGGAUCGACUGCUUCGCCUUCCUCCUCUUCCUCCUCAUGUCUCAUGAUGGAGUCCUCGCCCUUCGAGAUCCAGAGAUCGGAUCAGCGCGUGUCGUCUUCCAGACAAACUAUGGCGACAUUGAAUUCGGCUUUUUCCCUCGUGUUGCUCCCAAAACUGUUGACCAUAUCUUCAAACUCGUUCGCAUGGGAUGCUAUAAUACUAACCACUUCUUCCGGGUUGACAAGGGUUUUGUCGCACAAGUUGCUGAUGUUGUAGGAGGCAGAGUGGCUCCUAUGAAUGAAGAGCAAAGGCUGGAAGCCGAGAAGACUGUUGUUGGUGAGUUUAGUGAAGUUAAACACAGAAGGGGAAUUCUCUCCAUGGGAAGGUAUUCUGAUCCGAAUAGUGCCUCAUCUUCUUUCUCAAUUCUUC